rnacentral:snRNA from 1 species
UUUGGGAUAUCCAAAAAAAAAAAAAUUGUAACAACAUAGAGAAGAUUAGCAUGGCUCAUAUGUAAGGAGGAUGGAGUUGUUUCAUUUUCUU